GUGGCGAACGGGUGAGUAACACGUGAGUAACCUGCCCUGGACUCUGGGAUAAGCGUUGGAAACGACGUCUAAUACCGGAUAGGACCUUGGAUCGCAUGAUCUGGGGUGGAAAGUUUUUCGGUCUGGGAUGGACUCGCGGCCUAUCAGCUUGUUGGUGAGGUAAUGGCUCACCAAGGCGUCGACGGGUAGCCGGCCUGAGAGGGUGACCGGCCACACUGGGACUGAGACACGGCCCAGACUCCUACGGGAGGCAGCAGUGGGGAAUAUUGCACAAUGGGCGAAAGCCUGAUGCAGCAACGCCGCGUGCGGGAUGACGGCCUUCGGGUUGUAAACCGCUUUUAGUAAGGAAGAAGGGGCUUCGGCCUUGACGGUACUUGCAGAAAAAGGACCGGCUAACUACGUGCCAGCAGCCGCGGUAAUACGUAGGGUCCGAGCGUUGUCCGGAAUUAUUGGGCGUAAAGAGCUCGUAGGCGGUUUGUCGCGUCUGCUGUGAAAACUAGAGGCUCAACCUCUAGCCUGCAGUGGGUACGGGCAGACUGGAGUGCGGUAGGGGAGAAUGGAAUUCCUGGUGUAGCGGUGGAAUGCGCAGAUAUCAGGAGGAACACCGAUGGCGAAGGCAGUUCUCUGGGCCGUAACUGACGCUGAGGAGCGAAAGCGUGGGGAGCGAACAGGAUUAGAUACCCUGGUAGUCCACGCCGUAAACGUUGGGCGCUAGAUGUGGGGACCUUUCCACGGUUUCCGUGUCGUAGCUAACGCA
rnacentral:rRNA from 1 species